rnacentral:rRNA from 1 species
CAGUAGCCACGGUAAUACGGAGGGGGCUAGCGUUGUUCGGAAUUACUGGGCGUAAAGCGCACGUAGGCGGCUUGGUAAGUUAGAGGUGAAAGCCUGGAGCUCAACUCCAGAAUUGCCUUUAAGACUGCCGAGCUAGCAGGUGAGAGAGGUAAGUGGAAUUCCGAGUGUAGAGGUGAAAUUCGUAGAUAUUCGGAAGAACACCAGUGGCGAAGGCGGCUUACUGGCUCAUACUGGACGCUGAGGUGCGAAAGCGUGGGGAGCAAACAGGAUUAGAUACCCGGGUAGUCCCUGUCUCUUAUAC